UACAACAUAACGUUAAUGCACCAGAUCCCAUUAUAAUUAUGUAGUUAAGCACGCUCAUGCUAGAGUAGUAUUGGAAUGGGUGACCACACGGGAAGUCCUAGUGUUUUAC
rnacentral:rRNA from 1 species